GAUGAACGCUGGCGGCGUGCCUAAUACAUGCAAGUCGAGCGAACGGACGAGAAGCUUGCUUCUCUGAUGUUAGCGGCGGACGGGUGAGUAACACGUGGAUAACCUACCUAUAAGACUGGGAUAACUUCGGGAAACCGGAGCUAAUACCGGAUCAUAUUUUGAACCGCAUGGUUCAAAAGUGAAAGACGGUCUUGCUGUCACUUAUAGAUGGAUCCGCGCUGCAUUAGCUAGUUGGUAAGGUAACGGCUUACCAAGGCAACGAUGCAUAGCCGACCUGAGAGGGUGAUCGGCCACACUGGAACUGAGACACGGUCCAGACUCCUACGGGAGGCAGCAGUAGGGAAUCUUCCGCAAUGGGCGAAAGCCUGACGGAGCAACGCCGCGUGAGUGAUGAAGGUCUUCGGAUCGUAAAACUCUGUUAUUAGGGAAGAACAUAUGUGUAAGUAACUGUGCACGUCUUGACGGUACCUAAUCAGAAAGCCACGGCUAACUACGUG
rnacentral:rRNA from 1 species